rnacentral:rRNA from 1 species
UAGGGAAUCUUCCGCCCUGGCACGAAAGUCUGAACGGAGCAACGCCGCGUGAGUGAUGAAGGUUUUCGGAUCGUAAAGCUCUGUUGCCAGGGAAGAACGCUUGGGAGAGUAACUGCUCUCAAGGUGACGGUACCUGAGAAGAAAGCCCCGGCUAACUACGUGC